rnacentral:rRNA from 1 species
CCUGUCGGUGUAACUGGCAUGUCGCGGCAUGUCCUGUCGGUGGUGAACGGAAUUCCCGGUGCUGCUUAGGCUUAAUCGCCGAAGCAUGUACCGUGUGUUUUUCCGUUCGCCGAUCUCUCCUACUCCGGUGCUCUUAAACGAGUGUCGAGGUAGGCCGACACGUUCACUUUGAACAAAUUAGAGUGCUUAAAGCAGGCUGAAAUAUCUGCCUGAAUAGUGGUGCAUGGAAUGAUAAAACAGGACCUCGGUUCUAUUUUGUUGGUUUUAGGAAUAUGAGGUAAUGAUCAAUGUGGACUGGCGGGGGCAUUCGUAUUGCGACGUUAGAGGUGAAAUUCUUGGAUCGUCGCAAGACGCACUAGAGCGAAAGCAUUUGCCAAGUAUGUCUUAAUUGAUCAAGAACGAAAGUUAGAGGUUCGAAGGCGAUCAGAUACCGCCCUAGUUCUAACCAUAAACGAUGCCAGCCAGCGAU